rnacentral:rRNA from 1 species
GGCGGCUGCUAUACAUGCAGUCGUACGCUUCUUUUUCCACCGGAGCUUGCUCCACCGGAAAAAGAAGAGUGGCGAACGGGUGAGUAACACGUGGGUAACCUGCCCAUCAGAAGGGGAUAACACUUGGAAACAGGUGCUAAUACCGUAUAACAAUCGAAACCGCAUGGUUUUGAUUUGAAAGGCGCUUUCGGGUGUCGCUGAUGGAUGGACCCGCGGUGCAUUAGCUAGUUGGUGAGGUAACGGCUCACCAAGGCCACGAUGCAUAGCCGACCUGAGAGGGUGAUCGGCCACAUUGGGACUGAGACACGGCCCAAACUCCUACGGGAGGCAGCAGUAGGGAAUCUUCGGCAAUGGACGAAAGUCUGACCGAGCAACGCCGCGUGAGUGAAGAAGGUUUUCGGAUCGUAAAACUCUGUUGUUAGAGAAGAACAAGGAUGAGAGUAACUGUUCAUCCCUUGACGGUAUCUAACCAGAAAGCCACGGCUAACUACGUGCCAGCAGCCGCGGUAAUACGUAGGUGGCAAGCGUUGUCCGGAUUUAUUGGGCGUAAAGCGAGCGCAGGCGGUUUCUUAAGUCUGAUGUGAAAGCCCCCGGCUCAACCGGGGAGGGUCAUUGGAAACUGGGAGACUUGAGUGCAGAAGAGGAGAGUGGAAUUCCAUGUGUAGCGGUGAAAUGCGUAGAUAUAUGGAGGAACACCAGUGGCGAAGGCGGCUCUCUGGUCUGUAACUGACGCUGAGGCUCGAAAGCGUGGGGAGCAAACAGGAUUAGAUACCCUGGUAGUCCACGCCGUAAACGAUGAGUGCUAAGUGUUUGGAAGGUUUCCGCCCUUCAGUGCUGCAGCUAACGCAUUAAGCACUCCGCCCUGGGGAGUACGACCGCAAGGUUGAAACUCAAAGGAAUUGACGGGGGCCCGCACAAGCGGUGGAAGCAUGUGGUUUAAUUCGAAGCAACGCGAAGAACCUUACCAGGUCUUGACAUCCUUUGACCACUCUAGAGAUAGAGCUUCCCCUUCGGGGGCAAAAUGACAAGUGGUUGCAAGGGUUGUCCUCACCUCCUGUCCUGAGAAGAUUGGGGUUAAAUCCCCCCACCAAGCGCAACCCCUUAUUGUUAGUUUGCCCCCAUUCAAAUGGGGCCCCCUACCAAAAAAGGCCGGUGAGAAACCGAGGAGAGAGGGGGGGUGGAAGUCC